UCACCCUGGAGGGCCCGAGAGAAGCACAGAGAAGAGAAAUGGGAUUCGUGUUAAGGCCCGAAAUGACAGGUUCAUCCUUGGUUGUGCUGGUCAAUGCCCAACAAUCUUGUGCCAGAACAUUAAAAAACAAAACAAAAAACGUUGUGUGCCAACAUCUUCAUACUGAUAUAGAACUUUUACCUCCUUGUUAGUACAUGGUCAUAGGAUGCUAGGGUGCGACAGAAAUGAACGAGUUUACAGUACCCACAACUGUCUAAUCAGAAUGAUUUAAAAGCCCCCGGAACAAGAUAGACUCAAGACAACUCUAUCAGCUGACCCGUCACACAUGCUUUCUCUGCUCAACAGGGAAGACACCUGCCCUGAGCGGGAGUCCACACACAGGAAAGCUCAACUCUGACCACACCGGACUGAGGAGGCUGACCCAGUGAAAAGGACCCCAAAUCUGCUACCUGUGGACCUCUCGAAAAGAAAGGGAUGUGGCAAAAUACUGGAAGGACUGUGAGGGGAGCACACAGAGGGAUGCAUGAAACUCUCCAGCGUGGCUCGAGAAGAUGGCUUUGCGAAGCCACAGACUGCGUGGGGAGAACCCACCUAGGAGCAAGAAGGGCUCCUAAUGGAUCACCAAGUACCGACAACUCAGUAUGUGCCUCGGAUGAGAGGUGGACUGCGGCACGAAAAGCUUUAUAAUGAUGGAGACAGUUUAGUAAGUGUCUGAUAAAAUUUGCCUGGACAGGAAAAACCUACAUGGACCUAAUUUUUUUUGGAGAUUUUUUUUUU